rnacentral:rRNA from 1 species
CCUACCGGGGAGCAGCAGUGAGGAAUAUUGGACAAUGGRGGCAASYCUGAUCCAGCCAUGCCGCGUGCAGGAUGACGGCCCUAUGGGUUGUAAACUGCUUUUAUAYAGGAAGAAACCUUUUCACGUGUGAAAACCUGACGGUACUAUAAGAAUAAGGACCGGCUAACUCCGUGCCAGCAGCCGCGGUAAUACGGAGGAUCCGAGCGUUAUCCGGAAUCAUUGGGUUUAAAGGGUCCGUAGGCGGGAAUCUAAGUCAGAGGUGAAAUCUUGCAGCUCAACUGUAAAAUUGCCAUUGAUACUGGAUUUCUUGAAUUAUUGUGAAGUGGUUAGAAUGUGUAGUGUAGCGGUGAAAUGCAUAGAUAUUACACAGAAUACCAAUUGCGAAGGCAGAUCACUAACACUAUAUUGACGCUGAGGGACGAAAGCGUGGGGAGCGAACAGGAUUAGAUACCCUGGUAGUCCACGCCGUAAACGAUGGAUACUAGCUGUUCGAACUUCGGACUGAGUGGCUAAGCGAAAGUGAUAAGUAUCCCACCUGGGGAGUACGUUCGCAAGAAUGAAACUCAAAKGAAUUGACGG